UUCAACGGAGAGUUUGAUCCUGGCUCAGGACGAACGCUGGCGGCGUGCUUAACACAUGCAAGUCGAGCGGUAAGGCCCUUCGGGGUACACGAGCGGCGAACGGGUGAGUAACACGUGGGUGA
rnacentral:rRNA from 1 species